rnacentral:misc_RNA from 1 species
GAAAUUCGAGUGAGGUUUACUCAUCAGAAAUACAUUUGAGACAGAGCAACUUCUACUUCAUAGAAGUUUUAAUUACACAUAUUCCUCAAAGUUCUUUUCAUCUCAGGUGGAAAAUUCCAAAUUCUAAGAACUUUGAAGUAAUAUCUCACAAAUAUCUCUAUUCUUUCUUAGCAGAAUCUCACGGAUUUGAGGAAUUAAUAGAGCAUGUGCCAUUCACUCGAGCAACACAAAAUUACAUAACUGGUCAUCCCAAACAAUCAAUUUUAUCCACGACUGAAAAAUUUCAUUCAGGCAUUAAAUAUCUUGAGUGGAAUGAUGUUAGCUCAGCUCUACCGGUUUGUCCCUAUCGCCCAGGUUAUGUUGGUAAAAAAGUCGUGAAUCAGUACGAUAUUUUAAUGCAUUUUGUUAACCCAUCAUACAUGUAUCCAGAAAUUAAACAUGCCAUGCUGAAGGAAGGAAAGUGGGACCCAUGGUUUCCACUUGAGAAAAAAGACGCAUUUGGUAUUGUUGCAAAAUAUCUGAAGAAACUUGGAGAUUCAUAUCCCGGAAAAUACAAGUUGAAAAAGAUUUUGAGUGUGGAGAAGAAACCAGAUUGGCAUAAAGAGAACCGAGAGUUUUACAAAGGAACAUUAAGACAUGGAGAUAGAUUUUUUCUAGAACUAUUGUUGUGGGAUAACACAAAUGAUAAAGAGGUUAUCUUAUCAGAGUAUGUGUACGAAUUUAAGAAUAACAAAACACUGUGUUACCCUGAAGGCAUGCAAUGGAACAAAACUGUGCCAGUGUAUUUAUUGAUUUCUGUCCGAAAACAGGCACCGUGGGUGUGGCAUUUUAUAAAGAAUAUGGAGCGUCUUUAUCAGAGUACUGCCGAUGAAAACCUACACGUAAUUGUAUUUGAUUUCAACAGUACAAGUAUUGACAGUGAAACUCUAUUUCAAAAGAGCUCAUUCAAAAACUAUAAGGUUUUAAAGUGUUCGAACAGCAGGUUUCAUAAGACAUAUGCCUUGAAUAGAGCAGCAGAUGCAGUGACAGAUCCGAAUGCAAUUGUUUUCACAGUGGAUCUACAUCUGGAAAUUCCACCGUCAUUUGCAAACAGUAUCCGCAAACAUUGCAUUAAAGGUAAAAUGGUUUUCACCCCCAUCCUAGCAAGGCUGUCAUGUGGUGCUUCACCACGAUACUUGCAUGGAGCUUGGGAUCCCUGGGGAUACGGAAUGUUUGGUGCAUACAAGACAGAUUGGAAGACCUUUGAUGGAUUUGAUGAGGUGAAGUUUACCACACGGUGGGGUGGAGAAGACUGGGAUCUUGUAGAACGAGCAUAUAAUGUCGGAUUGGAAUUCGAACGAAUAAAAAUUCCAGAUUUUUAUCAUUAUGAACACCCCAGAGUUGGAAUGUGGGCAUAACAAUGGUACAUUCUAAAUCUAUAAUUGAAAGAAAUUAUUGCACAUCCUAAGAUAGCGUAGUUACUUAAUUUUGAUUACGGAUCAGGGAUCGACAGCACCUUAUAUUUCUCAUAGACAGAUAAAAAAGUUUACACACCUAGAUUUGAAGUUAGUUAAAGCCUGGUUCUCAUGACGGUCAGCGAUGAAUGCAUCGCCGUCGCCGACUGUCUGUAUGACAUAUGAAAGUCUAAUUCAAAAGCAAUUUUACUUGUUUUGAAUUUGACACAUUUAUAAAGCGUAUGCAUAUAACUCGUUAACUUACGCAACAACUAGGAACUAGCCUUAAAUUCUUUCUUUUGAACUUUUUGUUUUAAGCAUGCAAAUAGUUCUAAUUUCCAUCCAAUCAAAAGCAAUAAGAAGCAUUCUUUGUGAAUGGCAAACAUUUAGGUCGUGUUUACCCGUUUAUACCAGAUUACUAUCGGAUUUGUUUAGCUCGUGAGAAUGCAAUGCAUUAAUUUUUGUUUAGCUCGUGAGAAUGCAAUGCACUUGUUUAGCUCGUGAGAAUGUGUGACAAGUUUUCAAGAGAGUUGAGACAGAAUUCGAAACAAGUGACAACCUAGGUUGGUUCUAUUAUGAAAUAAUGAUGAUUUACCAUAUGAUCCGAUCAGCAUUACUGACAUUAGCAUUCAGCACAAGACUGACAAGAGUAAUCAAAGUAUUUGCAUUAAUUUCAAGUGUUUGAAAUAAAAUUUACUUUGAUGAAAGUGGAAACAUCAAAACAAAUAUGGCGGAUUUGGUAAAUUUUGUUUCUAAGUCGGACUUGGACGCAAGAAAAGCGCAGCGUCGCGAAGAAAGAAAAGCAGUGCUUCUUAAAGCAAAGGAGCAGUAUGAAAGAAGAGAACGAGAUUUGGAGGAAAGAAAGAAGAAGGGUGAAGAUGUCUGGAUGUUACCAUCAGUUGAUAGUCGACUUUCUCCCAAAAACAGUGACGAGGAUGAGCAUGUAAAAAAGAAGAAACACAAGCAAGAUAAGAAGAAAAAGAAAAAGAAAAAACGACAAAAAGUAUUAUCAAAUACUAUGUAUAUAUGAGUUUUCUACUGUCUAUUUUCUAUUAUUGGCCAAUAAAAAUGCAUAUAAUAAUUACAGUUACAAUGUGAAUAAAAGCCUAUAAUACGAUAUGGGCACAAAAGGGUUAGUAGAGUACAGCACUUUAGGGUGGAUAGGUAAGAAUUAUGACACAAAUUUAUAGCAGGUUUUACCUAAGAAUAAAAAAGGAUGACAAAAAUGGGUGUAAGUAAUAAAUUUUUGUUAAAUUGCUGUAGAUUUGUGUCCUACUUCAUAAUGUGGCUGAUCUGGGGUAUUUGUUCUGAAGUAACUGUUAUAUUUUAGAG